CUGUAAUACCCAGCGGUCCUUAGAAAGGCUAACACCUGGGUUUUAGUCCUAGGGGUGGGCCACUGGGCCACGGCUUCUACUUUGGCUGGUUCGGGCUUCUGUUUGCCGCACCCCACUCUAUGUCCGAGGUACUGCACCUUGGCCAUCCCUAUGCUGCACUUGGCCGGUUUCAAUGUCAAACCAGCUUCCUUAAUCCUGUCUAGUACCGCUCCUAUAUGGGCCAAGUGCUC